CUGGCGGCAGGCCUAACACAUGCAAGUCGGACGGUAGCACAGAGAGCUUGCUCUUGGGUGACGAGUGGCGGACGGGUGAGUAAUGUCUGGGGAUCUGCCCGAUAGAGGGGGAUAACCACUGGAAACGGUGGCUAAUACCGCAUAACGUCGCAAGACCAAAGAGGGGGACCUUCGGGCCUCUCACUAUCGGAUGAACCCAGAUGGGAUUAGCUAGUAGGCGGGGUAAUGGCCCACCUAGGCGACAAUCCCUAGCUGGUCUGAGAGGAUGACCAGCCACACUGGAACUGAGACACGGUCCAGACUCCUACGGGAGGCAGCAGUGGGGAAUAUUGCACAAUGGGCGCAAGCCUGAUGCAGCCAUGCCGCGUGUAUGAAGAAGGCCUUCGGGUUGUAAAGUACUUUCAGCGGGGAGGAAGGCGAUGCGGUUAAUAACCCCGUCGAUUGACGUUACCCGCAGAAGAAGCACCGGCUAACUCCGUGCCAGCAGCCGCGGUAAUACGGAGGGUGCAAGCGUUAAUCGGAAUUACUGGGCGUAAAGCGCACGCAGGCGGUCUGUUAAGUCAGAUGUGAAAUCCCCGGGCUUAACCUGGGAACUGCAUUUGAAACUGGCAGGCUUGAGUCUUGUAGAGGGGGGUAGAAUUCCAGGUGUAGCGGUGAAAUGCGUAUAGAUCUGGAGGAAUACCGGUGGCGAAGGCGGCCCCCUGG
rnacentral:rRNA from 1 species